GUUUCGAGCCGGGCCACCCAUGCGCAGGUCUUCGUGAUUGGCCGCCACUGAUCCUUUUCCUUGGGCAGAUUAUGGAAUGCCGUCCGCGGAAAUAGCACCGUCUCAGUAUCCAAUAAGGUAGAUCUCUUCUCCCUGCUUUCGAUCCAAGUCGCCGUCGAUUCCGUUCGCUUGAUCUCAGUCCAGCUGAUGACAUUUUCAGCCACAGCUGUAGUGGAUUCAACCUCGGUUCCGCUCCUGUGUAUUACUCUGUUCCAGAUUGAUUGGGUAGGUCGCGUGGCGGAUUAAGACCAGCACACCGAGUUCGAGCCGGAUAAUGAAUAAUUGGCAAGGUUGCCUGGUUCGAGCCGGAUUAGAACCCACCCCGAUUAGGAGAAGGGGGGGAUUCUGCUAGCGAAGCAGUUUUCUUUUUCUUAUAUGUAGAGAGAGAGAGAUGAGCAUGGGGUUUUCGUCAAUAGCCGCUUCUAAAUUUCGGAGCUAAAAGUUCGAUUCCGGUGUCGAUUCGACGAUUUCUGAAUAACUGGCAACGUUCCCAAGUUUGAGCCGGAAUAGAAGUAUAGAACCCCCUCCGAUUAGUAGGGGGGUGGGGGACGAGGAUUCUGCUAUCGGAGCAUUUCUUAUACUCCGUAUAACUAAUAAAGACGAGCACCAGGCUUUCGUCAAUAUUCACUUCAAAGUUUUGGAGGCCAAAGUGUUAUACACCGGAUUUUCAUGGAGUCGAAAGCUAAUAAUAGCAGUCCGCCUAGCCAGAGGAAGAUAGGCUCAGCAUGCUGCCUGAUGAUAUUUUGCUGUCGAUCCUGAGCAGAAUCGACUUUACUACGGCUGUAACCACAAGUGCGCUUUCUACUCGGUGGAGGGAGUUGGCUUGGUUGUUGCCUGAGCUCAACAUUGAUGUUAUGGAUUUCCUACCUGUUCCACGCCCGAAUCCUAUCGAAGCAAAUCAUAUGGAUGAAGCUAUGUCAUCUCUAACCAAAGCAAUCAGGAGUUUAUUGACAAAACCUCGCGCUAUCUCAUGGCUGGACCUUAAGCUCUUCUUGAAUAGCGCUAGUUUCUCGUGCUAGAUAGGCCUGCUGUUAAGCGAAGCGGUCGAUGGUGGCUUAUUGAAAGAUUUGCACCUCGAUUUUCUUGAUGAGACAGAUCCUCCAGAGUGUGCCCAUUUAAAUAUGCGGCAGCUAGCUCGAGACAUUCAUGGCUUUUUCACUACCUACCCUAGUAUGCUCCAUUGCGUGACGGAGCUUUCUCUAUGCAAUGUACGCUUUGACGUGGUGGACACAUAAACUAUCUCCUGUUUGACUGCUGCAAGCAAUUGAAGCAACUAACCCUCUAUCACUGGUUAGAUGGUUGGCGCACUGUCUGGACGAUAGAUGCGCCAAACUCAAAACUUAGUGUUCUAGUACUCCUGACAUGUCGCUUUGAGAGACUUUACUUUGUCUGCCUUCCAAAACUGGAGAAGCUUGUAUUGGAUACUUGGGAACCUCACUCUGUACCCUUGUCUUUUGGUUUUGUCCCAUCUCUUGGGGAAGUAGAACUUACAUGUGGUGCAACACUUGAUCAGAUACUACUUAAAUUAAGCGAUCCUCUACAUGGAGCAACAGGCAUACAUACCCUGACAUUGGACUUCCAAGCUGAAAAUCUUUGGAUGCAACCUGAAAUAAAGCAACUCCGGACAGCAUUUAACAAGCCAAGGAAUCUGUCCGUGCGUGGUAUCUUUGCUGAAUUUGACAUUUUGUGGGCGACUGCUUUCCUUGAGGCUGCACCCUCUGUUGAAAUAUUACAGAUUGAGGUAUGUGACCAUGCAUGCGAUGUGGAUGGCGAGGACAGAUUAUGGACCUUCGCUGAAAGAAAGAGUCCUCAGUGGGAGAUUGACUUGGGCAGCUCCAAGAAUUUGUUAUUGAAUGAGCUACAGUUUAUCGGCUUCAGGUCACUGAAACAGCAUUUUAGUUUUAUAAGAGCUGUGAUGGAGCGAGCUCCCAGAUUGCAGACAAUAGUGCUGAGUGGAGACGAGCAGUGUGACAAGUGUGAUGCUCUUUGUGUAGCUUCUCCGAGGGAUUCUGUGCUUCCGAAGAACCAGAGCAGGAAAUCGUGGUCAGGCGAAUUACAGACGGCAUGUUCUCACCCCAAAUAAUAUUUCGUGAAUGAGAUGCUGUAAUAAACAUGUUUUCUAUUGAGAACAUGAUAAACAUGUUAAGAGACUUCAACAUGUUAAAGUUGCAUAUUCCCCUCGGACAAAAUAAGAUUUUGUUAUAUG